CCCCUCUCACAAUUGCACCUGGAGAGUUUUCAGUACUCUACCAGUUUUAGCUAUGCGAGGGAGAGUCAAGCAGAGACAUACCCAUUCCAUUCCUAUCUUAAGCAGUGGCUAGUCAGUGGAAGGCAAUCUGCUAGAAGU